rnacentral:rRNA from 2 species
GGGUUGUGAGGUUAAGCGACUAAGCGUACACGGUGGAUGCCCUGGCAGUCAGAGGCGAUGAAGGACGUGCUAAUCUGCGAUAAGCGUCGGUAAGGUGAUAUGAACCGUUAUAACCGGCGAUUUCCGAAUGGGGAAACCCAGUGUGAUUCGUCACACUAUCAUUAACUGAAUCCAUAGGUUAAUGAGGCGAACCGGGGGAACUGAAACAUCUAAGUACCCCGAGGAAAAGAAAUCAACCGAGAUUCCCCCAGUAGCGGCGAGCGAACGGGGAGCAGCCCAGAGCCUGAAUCAGUGUGUGUGUUAGUGGAAGCGUCUGGAAAGGCGCGCGAUACAGGGUGACAGCCCCGUACACAAAAAUGCACAUGCUGUGAGCUCGAUGAGUAGGGCGGGACACGUGGUAUCCUGUCUGAAUAUGGGGGGACCAUCCUCCAAGGCUAAAUACUCCUGACUGACCGAUAGUGAACCAGUACCGUGAGGGAAAGGCGAAAAGAACCCCGGCGAGGGGAGUGAAAAAGAACCUGAAACCGUGUACGUACAAGCAGUGGGAGCACGCUUAGGCGUGUGACUGCGUACCUUUUGUAUAAUGGGUCAGCGACUUAUAUUCUGUAGCAAGGUUAACCGAAUAGGGGAGCCGAAGGGAAACCGAGUCUUAACUGGGCGUUAAGUUGCAGGGUAUAGACCCGAAACCCGGUGAUCUAGCCAUGGGCAGGUUGAAGGUUGGGUAACACUAACUGGAGGACCGAACCGACUAAUGUUGAAAAAUUAGCGGAUGACUUGUGGCUGGGGGUGAAAGGCCAAUCAAACCGGGAGAUAGCUGGUUCUCCCCGAAAGCUAUUUAGGUAGCGCCUCGUGAAUUCAUCUCCGGGGGUAGAGCACUGUUUCGGCAAGGGGGUCAUCCCGACUUACCAACCCGAUGCAAACUGCGAAUACCGGAGAAUGUUAUCACGGGAGACACACGGCGGGUGCUAACGUCCGUCGUGAAGAGGGAAACAACCCAGACCGCCAGCUAAGGUCCCAAAGUCAUGGUUAAGUGGGAAACGAUGUGGGAAGGCCCAGACAGCCAGGAUGUUGGCUUAGAAGCAGCCAUCAUUUAAAGAAAGCGUAAUAGCUCACUGGUCGAGUCGGCCUGCGCGGAAGAUGUAACGGGGCUAAACCAUGCACCGAAGCUGCGGCAGCGACGCUUAUGCGUUGUUGGGUAGGGGAGCGUUCUGUAAGCCUGUGAAGGUGUGCUGUGAGGCAUGCUGGAGGUAUCAGAAGUGCGAAUGCUGACAUAAGUAACGAUAAAGCGGGUGAAAAGCCCGCUCGCCGGAAGACCAAGGGUUCCUGUCCAACGUUAAUCGGGGCAGGGUGAGUCGACCCCUAAGGCGAGGCCGAAAGGCGUAGUCGAUGGGAAACAGGUUAAUAUUCCUGUACUUGGUGUUACUGCGAAGGGGGGACGGAGAAGGCUAUGUUGGCCGGGCGACGGUUGUCCCGGUUUAAGCGUGUAGGCUGGUUUUCCAGGCAAAUCCGGAAAAUCAAGGCUGAGGCGUGAUGACGAGGCACUACGGUGCUGAAGCAACAAAUGCCCUGCUUCCAGGAAAAGCCUCUAAGCAUCAGGUAACAUCAAAUCGUACCCCAAACCGACACAGGUGGUCAGGUAGAGAAUACCAAGGCGCUUGAGAGAACUCGGGUGAAGGAACUAGGCAAAAUGGUGCCGUAACUUCGGGAGAAGGCACGCUGAUAUGUAGGUGAAGUCCCUCGCGGAUGGAGCUGAAAUCAGUCGAAGAUACCAGCUGGCUGCAACUGUUUAUUAAAAACACAGCACUGUGCAAACACGAAAGUGGACGUAUACGGUGUGACGCCUGCCCGGUGCCGGAAGGUUAAUUGAUGGGGU